UUCGUCUUGAUCUCCGUUAUUGUGUCUCAUAUUGAAGUUGGCUGUUGAAAUGAAACAUGGUUGACCGCGUGCUUCCCAAACUUUCAUUUAAUUUCGUGUAGACAGAGAGCGUUUUCACACCAAAAUGCAGUUUUCAGAUGGAUCCGGAUUAAUGUGGAUGUAGACUCAAAUAGAUGCAGCUUGCUGACCAUCUGAACCUGAAUUCAGGGAGGUAGAAGUGAAAGGUCCUGCAAUCCUGUGGCCAUCACUGUUCUCUCCAUUUCCUGCUCAGAAGAUGACAAGAAGAUCCAGCUUCUGAACUACAUGCUUCUGCUUCUGGUCCUGUCCUUGUCCUGCAAGCUCCAGUCAUAGGGACAUUAUGUUCCUGCUCCUGUCUAAAGGUCUACAUGCUCUUGCUUCUGUACAUAUUUCAAGCUCCUGUCCAGGAUACUACAAGCUUUUUCUACUGUCCUAAACAGUACAUACUGCUGCUUCUGUCCAGGACACUUCCAUGUUCUGCACCUGUCCAGAAUACAACAAGCUGGUGUCCAGAGACUACAAUAUAGUUACACUAACAUAUAAGAUAGAUAGAUAGAUAGAUAGAUAGAUAGAUAGAUAGAUAGAUAGAUAGAUAGAUAGAUAGAUAAGCAGUUGACUGUCCCCUUUGACUUCCACAAUAUGGAAAAAAAUAAAUUAUACUGUACCAGAAA